ACGACCUUACUUGAACAGGAUCUGUUCUAUAGGCUCGUACCUUCGUAUCUUUGAGUUCUAAGGAGACAGGAUUUCAAGUCUGGUUGAUGACACAAGACUGUGUGAUCAGAGCGUGAUUAGUGGCUAGGCAAUCCAGUACGGAUUACGCUGGUCGUGGAGGAUCGUUCCCAUCCGGUCUUCGCCUGGAUGGGAUGGUCACACGGUUGUCUGACAGACU
rnacentral:snoRNA from 2 species